UACGUAGGGUCCGAGCGUUGUCCGGAAUUACUGGGCGUAAAGAGCUCGUAGGUGGUUUGUCGCGUUGUUCGUGAAAACUCACAGCUCAACUGUGGGCGUGCGGGCGAUACGGGCAGACUGGAGUACUGCAGGGGAGACUGGAAUUCCUGGUGUAGCGGUGGAAUGCGCAGAUAUCAGGAGGAACACCGGUGGCGAAGGCGGGUCUCUGGGCCGUUACUGACGCUGAGGAGCGAAAGCGUGGGGAGCGAACAGG
rnacentral:rRNA from 1 species